CGCGGAGCCGGCUGCCCCUCGGCGCGCGUGCGGACGGAGGGCGCCUGCGGCUGCGCGGGAACGCGCUGAAGCGCUGCGGGCAGCGCGCGGGAGCCGGGACGGAGCGGAGCUAAAGAAGUAAACAGCUCAUGGCACGUUUAACAAAAAGAUGACAGGCGGAUACAAAAGCUAUCCAGCAUCUUUGGGCAGCCAUUGAGAUUAUACAGAACCAGAAGCAAAUUGCCAACAUUGACCGUAUUACCAAGACUGUCGUGCUCCAGCUCCUGAGGACUUUACAAUGGAUCCGUGCGUUACUGUGAAUCGUCUCACGUGAGGAUGUCUCACCCUGUCCAUUGCAGCUGCAAGAUUUCCAAUCAAGAUGUAAAGGGUGAAGAAUCAAAGAACAAAGAAUCAGUAACAAGUGAAAUUUAAGCCUUCAGUCAUGCAGAUUCCUAAUAUGAUUCAUAACUCAUUGUCAUGUUAUUUCUCUAAAUGCCAUGUAUAGUUUAAUGUCCAAUAAAAUCAAGUUACAUAUAUCA